UACGGGGGGAGCAAGCGUUGUUCGGAUUUACUGGGCGUAAAGGGCGCGUAGGCGUCGUGACAAGUCACUUGUGAAAUCUCCGGGCUUAACUCGGAACGGUCAAGUGAUACUGUCGGACUAGAGUACAGAAGGGGCAACUGGAAUUCUCGGUGUAGCGGUGAAAUGCGUAGAUAUCGAGAGGAACACCUGCGGCGAAGGCGGGUUGCUGGGCUGAUACUGACGCUGAGGCGCGAAAGCCAGGGGAGCGAACGGG
rnacentral:rRNA from 1 species